rnacentral:rRNA from 1 species
UACAGAGGUGGCAAGCGUUGUUCGGAAUUACUGGGCGUAAAGGGCGCGUAGGCGGCCUUCUAAGUCGGACGUGAAAGCCCCGGGCUUAACCUGGGAACUGCGUUUGAUACGGAUGGGCUAGAGUUCGGGAGAGGAGAGUGGAAUUCCCAGUGUAGAGGUGAAAUUCGUAGAUAUUGGGAAGAACACCGGUGGCGAAGGCGGCUCUCUGGACCGAGACUGACGCUGAGGCGCGAAAGCGUGGGGAGCAAACAGG